AGCGAACGUUAGCGGCGGGCUUAACACAUGCAAGUCGCACGAGAACGAGGGGGCAACUCCUCUAGUAAAGUGGCGCACGGGUGCGUAACACGUAGGUGAACUACCCUCCGAUGGGGGACAACCGGCCGAAAGGCUGGCUAAUACCGCGUAAGUCAACGGGGCAUUCGGGCUCUGUUGGGAAAGCGGCCCUCUUCACGAAAGGUCGCGUCGGAGGUUGUGCCUGCGGCCCAUCAGCUAGUUGGUGAGGAAUGGCUCACCAAGGCUAAGACGGGUAGCUGGUCUGAGAGGAUGGAUCA
rnacentral:rRNA from 1 species